AAUUUCUUCUCUCUUUUUUGAAUUUAUGUAUGUUUUAUUUGGAUUAGAUUCAUAGUUUUAUAUGCUUCUUUUGACGCUUCCAAUUUUAGAGAUUGGUAGAAUACACUUCAUGGUGAUUGUUGUCAUCAUGUAUUUACUCGCGAGUUGAAUAAUUUGCUUAUAUUAACUAAUCGUCGCAUCUUCUAUUUAUACACUGUUUUUUAGAUAUGCAUUUAAAUUUUAAGAUAUAUCUUGUAUAUGUACGUAUUAUUCUUCUCUCAGGAUAUGGGAAAGUGAAAAAACAAAUCCAAUCUAGAAGAUAUUGGGAAAACUUUAAAGAGACAGAUUCUGAGUUUAUCAACAACAGUUGCACUAUACAAUUAUCACUGAUCCCUUCAACACUCCAAUUAUAAGCCAUUGAAAGUUACCGUAGGUGGAAUCCACUAUACUGGAAAUGUGAAAAGUCUGAUAAAGAAUUUUAAACAUGAUGAAAGAUACUGGAGAAAGUAUUCUAAGAGACAAAAUUGUUCAUGCUAUGCAAUCUUAUAGGAAAAUUCAGAUGAAGGUAGUAAGUUGGUGGCAUACCAAGGCUCAAAGAAGUUGGUCAUACCAAAAAAGGUGGUCAAAAUAGUGGCAUUUACACAAAACAUUACAUUGACUAUGAGGGGACAUUAAAUGACGUCAUGUUUUUUUAAUGCCUUUAAAUAACCAUCAAAGUGAUACUGCAUUUACAUCAUCAUGGGAAUCCAAUGCACAUAAUCGGGAUGAUUGCAUAUCAGAUAAUGGUUCACGAAAGCAUGGUUUUAUAAUGAAUAAUGUUGCAGCAUAUGAAUUAAGGAAUCCUCAAUAUGGCACCACACCUCACUUCACACUGUUUAGUUCGUGCAUCAAGAUCACGGCAAGAAUACGUGUUGUACCACCUAUCCAGCAUUUUCACUUUGACAUACCUAGUGAUGAUAGUCCAACUCCAAAAAUAAAAGUAGUGGUUGACCCUGGUCCAAGCCACCAAUCCAGGUCAGUGAGCAAUACACAAGAUGAUUUUCCCAUGCUCAAUAUAAAGUCUGAAGGCCACCUAUCAGAUCCAAUCUAUCAGGACCCUUUUAAUGAUAUAGAACCUUAUAUUCCAACUAUUCCAAACUAUUCAUCUUCGUUACAAGGUCAAGACAUAUCUAAUUCGGCAUCGAACAGGGCAAUUGACAAGAAUUGGAUUAGUUGGGAUAAUUUUGAGGCUUGGAAUGAUUUUGAGGAAUGGAGCCAUGAUUAGCAGACUAGUGAAGGCAUAUGAUAUUUAUUUUUUGAUUAAAACUAUGUAUUUUUUAAUUUUAUGUCUGUUAACAAUUUUUUGACAAUAAUUUAUUUGAUGCAUAUGUAAUGUAUCAAUAUAUUACCAUUUUAUUAUAAUUACUAGCAAUGACUCUACUAUGCUCGGUUGAAAUGUGUAGUGUAAGUGAAGACAUUAAAAUGAAAAGUUAGUGUGAUUUUGUUUUUCCAUCCCGUGAUUUUUUAAAAAAAAAUAAAAAAUAAAAAUAAAACAUGCCAUGAUCUCUGGCCGCUUGGCCACCGUCUCAAUUUUCAUUCUUUUGUAUUUGUUAAAAUCAUGUUACCGUUACAUGUGACAUGGCAUUUAAACCAAAGAAGGGAAAAAAUUGCAAGAAAAAAUAAGUGGUUGUAGUUUCCCCAUUUUGGUGGAUACCAAAUAGAUUCCAAUCAAUGAUUCUUCUCUGGAUUCAUGGGGAAAAAAUCAGGAAGUAAGUGACUGACAUGUUUUCCAAAACUGUGUUAAAAAAUCUGAUUUCAUGUGAUAUUAUGAGUCUACCUCCAAGUUCUUCUAACGUUCAAUCAACAACCGUUUUCAAUUUUGCUUUCAAUUUGAGAGUAGAUCUCCGACUUUGAAGGAUACCAAACAGAUUCCAAUCGGGAUGAUAGAUUCUUCUCUAGAUUCAUGUGAACAAAAUUACGAAUUAGAGUUCUAACUUGGAGGACUCCAAUUCAUGUGGACCUUGUGAUAGAAGAAUGAAGACUUAGUCAUUUGGGGAAGUUAAUAAAACGGAGAGUUUUUGUAUCAUAGUUAUAUGGUGCAUUUUGAUCUUACCAUUUGUAUAUGAAUAGCUAGAAAAAUAGAAUGUGAUUUAUCUGAAUCAUCUUGUAAGAAACUGUAUUCUUGGAGGUGUAGAGUUUUCCUCGAAAUAAACUUUGUAUUAGUUCCGUGUGGUUCAUUCUUGAGUUCCUGAAUUCUUGUUGCAGUUCUUGCAUAUUUUUUGCUUGUGUAGAAUACUCAUAAUAAUUGAUAUCAGAGAGGGCGAUCCUCUCAUGGAAGACUACACCAGAUCCACUUUACACCAAGAAAAUUUUCUAAGGCAACAAGAGAAAAUUCAAAGGCAACUCAAUAUUCAUCAAGAAGAUAUAUAAGAAAUUAAUGACCGCAAGGAUCAGGUUUUUGAAAUGUUGAUGUCAUGCAUGGAUCAAAAAUCAAAAUCAGAAUCGGUAUUCAAAAUUAUAACAGCAAUUGUCUGACUCAAGGGUGCAUCAAAGAUCAUGAAGGCUUAGAUAAGAGAAUUUUAUAAGGGAGGAAGACAAGAAAAUAUUUAAACCUGCUCUUGGUGAUGAUUUUGAAGGUCUUGAAGUUACACUUGCUCUUGGUGACGAUAUUUAAGGGAAUAAAGUAUUUAAAGAAAAUAUUACUAAGGCUCUAAAUUCAUUUGAAGAAAAUAGUUUGACUAAAAAUAAAGUUGAGAAUAUGGAAAACAAGAAGGAAUAUGAUAAGUCAAAAAAAAAAAAAAAAUAUGAGAAGUCAGAAAAACAAUAUAUAGAGAAAGAAUGAACUGAAGAUCAGGAGAUGUUUCAAAUCUUGAAAAUGGCAAUAACUCAAGUAUUGAACUUCAUAACACUUGAAAUUCAAGUUCAUGACUGCCGAAAUUCUUGGCGUUCACAAGAUUUCCCAAAGCUUCAAUCUCUUAAACUUGUUGGCUUUUGACUUGUAUUUGGGCGUUUCUAUACUUGACGUCUGUGCAAAAUGCAAGUCUUGGAAGCUUCACUGUAAAGUGUUUGAUGUAAUGACUGAAUGGGUUGUUACGUAUUUCGCCCUCUAGCUGUUUGAUGUAUUGCCACCUCAUUGGCUCUUUGAUAGAGGAAGAGAAAGAAUUCCAGUAGGAAAUCAUCAACCUUAUGGACAAGGCUUUUGAAGGAGAGGAGAAUGUUAGGAUCGAAGUAUACCGAAGUGUACGCGGAAGGAAUUGAAGACGACAAAGGGUUUGGAACUCAGUUGGGUUUAGGUGUUGAGAAGUGUUGAAGUAUGUUGUGAAUAGUAGUGAAAAAGUAUGUGAAAAAUAAUAAUAGAAUAUUAAAUAGUAGUAAAAAGUAAUGAAUAAUAGUAGAAAGUAAGUUAAAAGUAAUAAUAAAGUAAUAAAUAGUAGUGAAAUAUAUUGAGAAGUGUUAUCUCAAUAUCUAAACACAGUCAGAAGUUAAUAAAAUGGGAAGUUUUUGUAUCAUAGUCAUACGGUGCGUUUUAAUCUUACCAUUUGUAUAUAAAUAAAUAGUUGGAAGAAUAGAAUGAUAUCUUUGAAUCAUCUCGUAAGGAACUUAUUUUUGGAGGUGUAGAGUUUUCCUCAAAAUAAACUUUGUGUUAGUUUCGUGUGGUUCAUUCUUGUUUUCUUGAAUUCUUGUUCCAGUUAUUGCAUAUUCUUGUUGUGCAGAAUACCCAUAACAGGGAGAAGAUAGUGGCCGCAUGAUUCACAGAAAAGGGCCAAGGAAUACCAACUUUCAUGGCAGUUGAAGCUCGUCAUAUGUACCUAUUUCCUUCUUAGUUAAUCACAAAUAGGAUUUUGUCAAAUCUAAUACGGAAAAAGUUGAUAUAUAUGGUGCCCAGAUGUUCUCUGGACUGCCUUUGGCUAGAACAAUGCCUAAAAUGCAACCAUCCGCAGAUUGCAAUCUGGUUUCUUCUCAAACUUUCAUGAAUAAGACUGAUAGUGGGCUCUCCUACACCAUCCCUGAUCGGAGAAAGCGUCCUACGGAUUUGUUCAACGAGCUUAAUGCUUUGAUAGUUCCUCAAAAGAGAUCCAAAGCAUCCGAGCUAUCGUCUUUUUUCAACCAGGACAUCAUCUUUCAGGCUCAGCAACAAUAGGAGGUAGAGAUCGUUCGGUUUUUUGCCCAAUAUGUAAUUGUCUAUUCUUUGCUCUGUCUUCCAAUUUUUUUUAAGUUUUCCCAAGAAAUUGGCGAAAAGGAAAAGGGAAAUAAUCGUUUUAUGGUUCUCUCUCUCUCUCUCUCUCUCUCUCUCUCUCUCUCUCUCUCUCUCUCUCUCUCUCUAACCUCGUUUGGGCUUUCGAAACUGUCCAAACUGUCGACACCGCCAUGGAACCACGGAUAAUUCGAGAGAUCAUAGCCAUGCAUCGCCUCCAGCAGUUGGUCUCGAUGCUACAUUUCUGCCACCAAAACGGCGUUUCCCACCACAAUGUGAAGCCCCAAAUCGUCCUCCUGGGCAAAGACGGCAACCUGAAGGUCUCGGGCUCUCAAGAAUGGAUUACUCCCAUUCGACAAUAGCAAUAUCGUAACCAUGUAUGUAGAAGAUUCAUCGCCGAGAUAGAUUAGUCCCACACAAAGAGAAGCGGAGAGAAGAGAAGAGAUGCUACGGAGCGUGGUUCAGUUGUUUGGAGAAGAAGAAAAGGGUAGGUUGGAGAAGAAGAGAAUGGGAGGUUCGGCUUAGGGGGGAAUGGAAGAGAAGGCGUGGAACUCGGAGAUCAAUCCCACACGAAAAUGCAAAAUGCAGUGUUUUUAUUUGGCCCAGUCACAUUUUGGUGUCAACAGUGCGCCAAACCGCUUGCAUUUAGACUUUUCCAAACAGAGUACUCUAAAUAUAGUCAGAAAGUUGCAAUCAGAAGGACGGAAGCCUUGGCUACAGCCACACAUCCUUCACACACGGCAAGUAUCAAUGCAUGAGGUUUUGCUUACAUGCGAAAGGUGGUCUAGAUAACGACGUUUCAGCAACUUGGGCUACAUGUCAGCUUCACAUGUUAGUCGUAUGACAUUGAAUUAGGAAUUGCAGGACCAACAACCGAAGAGACAAGGAGUGCCAUGGUGAGGUCACAAAGGUGAGGCAUUUGUGGUAUGGAGGUGGCCGAAAAGAAAUAGGUCAGUUCAUUUCCAUCGUAGAGCUAAAAAUGUUUCUAUGGGCAAAACAUGGAUACCAUGCUGUACGUGAGUUCAAUCGUGAAGAAGAUACGCAACAAAGAACUCCAUGUUUUUAUAUAGACCAUUGUUCUUGAACAAACAAAAAUACAUAGAGAAAGCAUAAAGAAAUUGGCAAAUAUUUUAUUUUGAUGGGGUAUUUGCAAAUUUCCAAUCAAAUUGAGAAAGCGAAGUUGCUGAUCGUUCGCCAAAAACUUCAUGAAAGGGCACCGCGUCACAAAUUUCUUUGAGAUCGUCUUCAGAGAGCUUUACGGACAAGGAACCAAUGUUGUCAUCGAUGUUCCAAACUUUAGUCGUACCUAACACAUCGAUCAAACCAGAAACAUGAGGAUUAGGAUAUAUAUACAUAUAUGCAAUUAAAGAGAGUAAAUUAUUACCUGGGAUUGGGAAAAUGUUCUCGCCCUGAUGCAGAAGCCACGCCAAAGCUAAUUGAGCAGUAGUGCAGGCAUGCUUUUCAGCCAGAAUAGCAAGUCUGCUAUAAAGAUUUUUGUUUUUCUCUAGAUUUUCCCCACUGAACCUUGGAAGAAAAGCUGGC